rnacentral:lncRNA from 1 species
UAAAUAGGAAGCUGUGAGUUCCUACAAGCCCACUGAGAAACAAGAUUCUGCGUCAUCUUAUAUGCAGGGCAGGCUUCGUGAGCAUGUGACUUAAGCAGUCCUGCAGUACCCUGUGUGGAGUUGGGCCCAUCUCUGCUUUGAAUUCUCAAUCAUUUUCAACUAGGAGCCAAAAUUUUUAUUUUGUACUGGGCCAUAGGAAUUAUGUAGCUGGUCUUGUUUGUGUAUAUUACUUCACCUAUAGAAUCUAUUCCUUUUUAUUCUCAUUGAAUGGGAAACCAUUUUUCCAGUGACCCAUGUGCAUAUGUAAUUGGUAAUUGUAAUUUGAAGAAAGGGAGAACAGUAAAAGAAAGAACAGGAAAACAGUAAUGUUGUAAGAAAGGAAUACAUUCUCAAAAUGAGAAAAUAAUAUUUCCUUGUAAAAAAGUGAGGUUUUUUGUGUGUGUGAUCUAAGGAUGAUGAUCCAUAAAAAUUGUAAGCUAAUGAUUGAGACCUUGGUAUUUAUCCUCAAAUUUCCUGGCUUAUUCAGGGCUGGGGACUCUGUUGAAAGCCUCUGUGAGGGCCAUCAGGAAGGGAGCAGUUCCUUGCUUGGAGAAUGUGCUGACAACUCUGCCUUUGUGUGAGAACUCAGUGGCCAUGCAGACAGCAACUGACCACUACAGCGAGCAGAUGGCCUAGCAUCUGAGGCUCCCCACAGACACGCUCCAGGAACUGCUGGAUGUUCAUGCAGACUGUGAGAGGGAAGCCAUUGAAGUGUUCAUGGAGCACUCCUUCAAGAAUGGCAAGUGGGAAUUCCAGAAAAAACUGAUGGCAAAUGAAGUUCUCCAGCACUUCUUACAGAACCAGCUGGCAGUAGUGAACUCCAUUCUACAGGGAGACUAUGGCCUCAUCUAUCAGGAGAAGGCCCUAUCAGGUACAGGUGUGGGGUUGAGCAUAUAGCAGAGUGGGUAGGUUGCUGCAUUACCUUCAGACAGAGAUGAGGGCCAAACCUCCCUGAAACAAAGAGCUUCUUCUCUUUCUGUGGAACAGCACUGCUAAAUAUAACCAUCAGAGUUGUCUUUUUAAAUCUGGCAGACAAGGAAGGCCAUCUCAAUCACAUCCAGAAAUGUGCUCUUGGGGAUCCACAUAAUUCAGAGGUUUCUCAGCUACCUUUUCAAAGUCAGUUUCAUAUCUGUGCUGAGGAGGCUAGAAUCAAACAUGAGUGUUGUUUUCUUCUUCUCUAAAACAUUUGUGGAACAGCUGAGUGGACUUUGAAGGAGGCAGCUGAGAAGCCACAGGUGCUGCUAAGACAGAAAUACAAGGAGCAACAGUAAAAACUGGAGGCUGAAGAGAGAAGCUGUAGAGAAAGCGCAGCCCAGUUAACUGAGACGUUGGAGAAGGAAAUGUUGAGGCACAAGCUGAAGAUAAGCCUGCACCAGAGCCUAGGCAGUGCCUAAUGGACAGUGCCCUGGUUCCUCAGAAAAAAGAGGGCCCAAACUAAUAAAAAUCAAGAUCCCAGGGAGAAUCA